rnacentral:misc_RNA from 1 species
AACUUUUAACAACGGAUCACUUGGCUCUGGCAUCGAUGAAGAACGCAGCGAAAUGCGAUAAGUAGUGUGAAUUGCAGAAUUCAGUGAAUCAUCGAAUCUUUGAACGCACAUUGCGCCCCUUGGUAUUCCAUGGGGCAUGCCUGUUCGAGCGUCAUCUACACCCUCAAGCUCUGCUUGGUGUUGGGCGUCUGUCCCGCCUCUGCGCGUGGACUCGCCCCAAAUUCAUUGGCAGCGGUCCUUGCCUCCUCUCGCGCAGCACAUUGCGCUUCUCGAGGUGCGCGGCCCGCGUCCACGAAGCAACAUUACCGUCUUUGACCUCGGAUCAGGUAGGGAUACCCGCUGAACUUAAGCAUAUCAAUAAGCGGAGGCU